rnacentral:rRNA from 1 species
GUGCCAGCCGCCGCGGUAAAACGUAGGAGCCUAGCGUUAUCCGAAUUUACUGGGCGUAAAGCGCGUGCAGGCGGUUCGAUAAGUUGGGUGUGAAAUCUCCUGGCUCAACUGGGAGAGGUCGCUCAAUACUGUCGGACUCGAGGAUGGUAGAGGGAGGUGGAAUUCCCGGUGUAGUGGUGAAAUGCGUAGAUAUCGGGAGGAACACCAGUGGCGAAAGCGGCCUCCUGGACCAUUCCUGACGCUCAGACGCGAAAGCUAGGGGAGCAAACGGGAUUAGAAACCCUAGUAGUCC